GACGAACGCUGGCGGCAUGCCUAAUACAUGCAAGUCGAGCGAACAGAUGAAGUGCUUGCACUUCUGACGUUAGCGGCGAACGGGUGAGUAACACGUAAGGAAUCUACCUAUAAGCGGGGGAUAACAUUCGGAAACGGGUGCUAAUACCGCAUAAUAUCUUCUUCCGCAUGGAAGAAGAUUGAAAGACGGCUCUGCUGUCACUUAUAGAUGACCUUGCGGUGCAUUAGUUAGUUGGUGGGGUAAUGGCCUACCAAGACGAUGAUGCAUAGCUGACCUGAGAGGGUGAUCGGCCACAUUGGGACUGAGACACGGCCCAAACUCCUACGGGAGGCAGCAGUAGGGAAUCUUCCGCAAUGGGCGAAAGCCUGUCGGAGCAAUGCCGCGUGAGUGAAGAAGGCCUUCGGGUCGUAAAACUCUGUUAUAAGAGAAGAACAAAUUGUAGAGUAACUGCUACAGUCUUGACGGUAUCUUAUCAGAAAGCCACGGCUAACUACGUGCCAGCAGCCGCAGUAA
rnacentral:rRNA from 1 species